rnacentral:rRNA from 1 species
UACGUAGGGGGGCGAGCGUUGUCCGGAUUUAUUGGGCGUAAAGAGCUCGUAGGCGGUUCGAUAAGUCGGAUGUGAAAAUCUCCACGCUCAACGUGGAGGGGGCCAUUCGAUACUGUCGUGACUCGAGUCCGGUAGGGGAGUGUGGAAUUCCUGGUGUAGCGGUGAAAUGCGCAGAUAUCAGGAGGAACACCGGUGGCGAAGGCGGGUCUCUGGGCCGUAACUGACGCUGAGGAGCGAAAGCGUGGGGAGCGAACAGG